AUUGAACGCUGGCGGCAUGCCUUACACAUGCAAGUCGAACGGCAGCACGGGAGCAAUCCUGGCGGCGAGUGGCGAACGGGUGAGUAAUAUAUCGGAACGUGCCCAGUAGUGGGGGAGAGCCCGGCGAAAGCCGGAUUAAUACCGCAUACGACCUACGGGUGAACGCAGGGGAUCGAAAGACCUUGCGUUAUUGGAGCGGCCGAUUUCAGAGUAGCUAGUUGGUGGGGUCAAGGCCUACCAAGGCGAAGAUCUGUAGAUGGUCUGGGAGGACGACCAGCCACACUGGGACUGAGACACGGCCCAGACUCCUACGGGAGGCAGCAGUGGGGAAUUUUGGACAAUGGGCGCAAGCCUGAUACAGCCAUGCCGCGUGUGGGAAGAAGGCCUUCGGGUUGUAAACCACUUUUGUCAGGGAAGAAACGCUCUGGGCUAAUACCCUGGGGUAAUGACGGUACCUGAAGAAUAAGCACCGGCUAACUACGUGCCAGCCGCCGCCGUAAGAC
rnacentral:rRNA from 1 species